CGGUACUGUACGAAUAAGGAUCGGCUAACUCCGUGCCAGCAGCCGCGGUAAUACGGAGGAUCCAAGCGUUAUCCGGAAUUAUUGGGUUUAAAGGGUCCGCAGGCGGUCUAUUAAGUCAGAGGUGAAAUCCUGCAGCUCAACUGUAAAAUUGCCUUUGAUACUGAUAGACUUGAGUUAUUGUGAAGUGGUUAGAAUGUGUGGUGUAGCGGUGAAAUGCAUAGAUAUCACACAGAACACCAAUUGCGAAGGCAGAUCACUAACAAUGUACUGACGCUCAUGGACGAAAGCGUGGGGAGCGAACAGGAUUAGAUACCCUGGUAGUCCACGCCGUAAACGAUG
rnacentral:rRNA from 1 species